rnacentral:rRNA from 1 species
GUAGGUGGCAAGCGUUGUCCGGAUUUACUGGGCGUAAAGAGCGCGCAGGCGGUCGUAUAAGUCGAAUGUGAAAGCCCCCGGCUCAACUGGGGAGGGUCAUUCGAUACUGUUCGACUCGAAGGCAGGAGAGGGAAGUGGAAUUCCGGGUGUAGUGGUGAAAUGCGUAGAUAUUCGGAGGAACACCAGUGGCGAAGGCGGCUCACUGGUCCAUUACUGACGCUGAGGUGCGAAAGCGUGGGGAGCAAACUGG